GACAGAGGGUGCAAACGUUGUUCGGAAUUACUGGGCGUAAAGCGCGUGUAGGCUGCUCUGCAAGUCGGAUGUGAAAGCCCGGGGCUCAACCCCGGGUCGGCCGUGCGAACUGUCGAGCUGGAGCACUGUAGGGGCAGGUGGAAUUCCGGGUGUAGCGGUGGAAUGCGUAGAGAUCCGGAAGAACACCGGUGGCGAAGGCGGCCUGCUGGGCAGUGGCUGACGCUGAGGCGCGACAGCGUGGGGAGCAAACAGG
rnacentral:rRNA from 1 species